rnacentral:rRNA from 1 species
UACGGAGGUCUCGAGCGUUAGGCGGAAUCACUGGGCUUAAAGCGUGUGUAGGCGGAUCGUUAAGUGCCUUGUGAAAUCCCACGGCUCAACCGUGGAACUGCUUGGCAUACUGGCGGUCUUGAGCAACCUAGGGGCGAGCGGAACAAAUGGUGGAGCGGUGAAAUGCGUAGAUAUCAUUUGGAACGCCAAUGGUGAAAACAGCUCGCUGGGGGUUUGCUGACGCUGAGACACGAAAGCCAGGGGAGCAAACGGG